rnacentral:rRNA from 1 species
CGGACGGGUGAGUAAUGUAUGGGGAUCUGCCUGAUGGCGGGGGAUAACUACUGGAAACGGUAGCUAAUACCGCAUAAUGUCUGCGGACCAAAGCGGGGGACCUCCGGGCCUCGCGCCAUCAGAUGAACCCGUAUGGGAUUAGCUAGUAGGUAAGGUAACGGCUUACCUAGGCGACGAUCCCUAGCUGGUCUGAGAGGAUGAUCAGCCACACUGGGACUGAGACACGGCCCAG